AACGCAAAUUUCACAGCCACUCGUAACACGUACAGCAUCUCCUUGAGGUUGGAUCCCCCCGGGGCAUUCUAGACCCAUUAAAAGUGUAGAUAUGUGUCACCUCUAGUUAUGCUUGGACUGGAGAAUAAAGUUACUGGUCUUGGGUGCAGCGGUCCAUCUGUUGCUUGGCCUCGAGUCAAGUCAAAGGGUUAACCUUCGUGUGCCCGUAUGGGGACCGGUGCAAGGA